CUGGACGACGACGAGUACUUUUUGGACGACGACGAGGAUGAGAGAGGGAGGGAGAAGAAGCUGAAACUCUUGCUGAAGCUGCAGCAGAGCGAUGAAGGCGGCGCUGCUGAGUCAACUCCGAGUCGGACUCGGCAAGGACCUGCCACGUCGGCAUCAUCCUCCGACGAUGACGAAGGACGGAAGCCCUCGAAGAAGAGGAAAAUUAGCGGCGACGAUGACGAAGAAGAGUUGCUCAAGCUGCAGCAGAGCGAUGAAGGCGGCGCUGCUGAGUCAACUCCGAGUCGGACUCGGCAAGGACCUGCCACGUCGGCAUCCUCCUCCGACGAUGACGAAGGACGGAAGCCCUCUAAGAAGAGGAAAGUUAGCGGCGACGAUGACGACGAAGAAGAAAAUGACGAUGACAUUGAAAUUGAAAAUGAAAAUGACAUUGAAAUUGAAAAUGAAAAUGAAAUUGAAAUUGAAACUGAAAAUGAUGAUGAGGUAAGCGUGAACUGUGAAGUGUUGUUCGUGAGUUAAAAUUGAGAGCAAAAGGAGGGAAGAAAGUAGAAAGUCCAGCUCAGCUGAGUUUAGUUCACUGAUAUUUUUUGUAAUUGGACCAGAAGA
rnacentral:lncRNA from 1 species